UUGACAGAAGAGAGUGAGCACACAGAGGCAGUUGUAUAAUUGUAUACAUGUUGCUUUUGCGUGCUCACUGCUCUUUCUGUCAG
rfam:Citrus sinensis cultivar Ridge Pineapple sweet orange scaffold00025_contig_81, whole genome shotgun sequence.